UUUAUUAUAUAAACCACAAAAGUCUCUAAUAAAACCAGAAAAGGUCCCACGGAUGUGUCGCUUGUGCCAAAAAGUCGCCAUGAGGGUUUUGAAAGUCAAUUUACCUAUAUAGUCAAUUAAGUCUACUACUCUGGAUAUUGCUUUAUGUUCAUACUGUACGCGUAAAACAGGGUUCAUGUUUUUAUCUGGCGUUUGAAAGCACCAUUUCUGACUGCCCCUGAACGCAACAUCGCAGCUCCGCUAAUUUGUCCUGAAGUCUUCUCUGACAACAGAACAUCAUAUUCUCUGUGGUUGACCAUCACUGCUAGUGACUUAUUGCUGACUCUGAGAAGUGACCUGUUGUUUCCUCCUAGGACGUCUUGGUGACUCCUUGGUGUUUUGACAGUGCCUUGCUGGCCAGCGUCUCUCCUCUAUCAUAUUGGCACUCUGUCUAUCCUAUACCUUCUAUCCACUCUGUCUCAAUAUUGGAACCUCUAUCUAUCCUGUCACAUCUACUGCUCUGUCUCAAUAUUGGAACCUCUAUCUAUCCUGUCACAUCUACUGCUCUGUCUUUGAUAUCAACAAUUCUAUCUUUCUAUCCCCCUUCUAUCCCACCUCAGGUUACAAGCACCUGAUCUACCUUUACUGAACCACAUAACGUUGGUUACCCUUGAUUACAACAACCUCAGGUUACAAGUACCUGAUCUACCUUUACUGAACCACAUAACGUUGGUUAUCCUUGAUUACAACAACCUCAGGUUACAAGUACCUGAUCUACCUUUACUGAACCACAUAACGUUGGUUACCCUUGAUUACAACAACCUCAGGUUACAAGUACCUGAUCUACCUUUGCUGAACCACAUAACGUUGGUUACCCUUGGUUACAACAACCUCAGGUUACAAUACUAGUACUAUUUACAAAUUGGGCAAAGCUUUUGGAAUAAACUGAGACUUUUUUAGUUCGAAUUUGUUUCUGUUGAAUUUGUUUCAAUCUGUAAACAACAGUUACAGGAUAUUUGUACACUUUGUCAGAAUUAUAUUUUUUAUAUACACAAACAUUAUUUAAAGUGUUUUGUUGUUUAACGGUUCAUACUAAAAUAAAAUACAAGCAUCUAUAAGGAGAAAUCAGAUUUAUUUGGAGUUCCUGUUUCCUGUCUACAGACCCAACGUUCUUCAGGCGCAUU